GACGAACGCUGGCGGCGCGCCUAACACAUGCAAGUCGAACGGAGCUGCGAGAAGCUUGCUUUUCUUAGCUUAGUGGCGAACGGGUGAGUCACGCGUGAGUAACCUGCCCUGGAGUGGGGGACAACAGUUGGAAACGACUGCUAAUACCGCAUAAGCUCACGAUCCGGCAUCGGAGUUAGGGAAAAUGAGUUAUUCGCUUCAGAAUGGACUCGCGUCCACUUAGCUAGUUGGUGAGGUAACGGCCCGCCAAGGCGACGAUUGGGAGCCGGACGGGGAGGUGGACCGGCCGGAUUGGGACUGAGGCCCGGACCAGACUGCUACGGGAGGGAGCAGUGGGGGAUAUUGCACAAUGGGGGCAACCGUGAUGCAGCGACGCGGCGGGGAGGAAGAAGGGUGUCGGAUUGCAAUCUCCUGUCGUAAGGGACGAUAAUGACGGUACCUAACAAGAAAGCACCGGCUAACUACGUG
rnacentral:rRNA from 1 species